AUUUCAGGGCGACUUUGGGAACACAAUAGUCGACUCGCCGACGUUCCCUUAGACGCGUUGCCAUACGUCGUCACCCAUAGAAACGGCUUUCCGCGGGGCAGACUCCAAGUCUCGCCUGUGUGAGCGGGCAGGGGUAGCAGGAAAGGCUGUUUUUCAUUUCCAAGAGAAAACCGUCACCCCGCCCACCUCGAACCUCCUCCCAACAUCUCAGGAUAGAAACGCCGCGCUCAGAAAGAUACAAGUCUUCUCAUUGGAAAUGUUAACCAAGAUGAAUGAAAUGGAAACCAACACCUGGACAUGUCAUGGUGAAAUGUUAGAACACUGGGCACGAAGGUAAAAUCCUAAAAGCUUCCAAAGAGAUAAACAGGUUAAGCUCAAAGGAAUGGGAAUCAGUGUGGCAUCAGGUUUCUCAUUGGCAUCAUUGCUGGAAGACAACAAUCUGAGGAAAAAUCAGACUGAGAA
rnacentral:lncRNA from 1 species